UGGUUUCUAUCUCAAAUAAUUAAUAAUACUCUAGUACGAAAGGAUUGAGUAUUAAAUUUAAAAUUUUAUUAUUGAAUAAUAUU
rnacentral:rRNA from 1 species